CAUCUUCUCAAACCCACCACCACUCAACAACAUGUGCCACUGUUGCUUCUCCUCUGAUAUUCUUCUUCUCAUCCUCUUUCCUCAGAUGUGUUUGUCGUUUCUUGUUUUGAUAAUUACAUAAGUUAAUUGCUUAAUUUUAUUGUAAUUAUCAAAUUUAAUAAUGCAAGAAUCUUGUUGGUUUGUAAUGUUGCACUUUUGUUAGCAUUGGAGCUAAAUGUUGUCAUGAUGGUUCUACAAUUUGAUUGAUUCAGUAUUUAUUUAUUUAUUUUUUCCAAUUGCGUCGAUUUUCUGUUUUUGCAGGUUUUGUGGGCAUAUGUUUAGGAAUGUCCUGCUCGUGCUGUGAGACUGUUUCAGUUUCACAUGGCACUCACCCUAUCAGCUGUGCAGGCAUGUGACCGCCAUGUAUGUAUCAAAUUUUACAAAUAUUCUUUUGGGCCUUAGAUAACUCCAGGGUUUUUGUCUAAUUCUCGUAUUAGUGCCAUUUGUACUUCCCUGUUCUAGUGUGAAUUGCUUUUCUUGCUUGAAAUUUAGCCUAAUAUUUUAGACUUUAUGAAAAAAGUCUCAUCAUAAUGGGGCUAUUUGAACUCCUUGACAAUUCUUUCAACUGGCCUUUAUGUUGGGUUUAUUUCUCCUUGGUUUUUUGGUGUUUAAAGGAGGAAAAAGGUGCUAUUCGUUUAGUCAUUCAUUAUCAAGUUGUCAAUGAAUAGAUGGAGUUCAAUAUCAUGCAUGUGUUGGACUUUAUUGUGUGCUUCUGCGAACAAUAGGAUUUUAGAAUUGUUUCAAAGCAGAAGAACAUAUUGGCCUACUCAACUAUUUUUCUGGAUCAUAUAUAGGGAGAGCCGGAGAGGAAUAGUAUGAUGUUGAGGUACAUUUAUUCCAGUCUCUAAGUUGAAACCCAUCCUUUUUAAGUGUACGUGGUUUUAGGAUAAGAAUUUUUUUGUCUCUUUAUGAAAUGGUAAAUGUGGUAUAACACUACAUUUAAUAAUUUUGUGUUGAUUUUUGUCUUCUUAGUAAUUAGUAUGCACCUCAUGUACAUGAUGUAGACAUCUUGUGCCUCUCUCUAGGCACUCUCUUUGUUAAUAUAAAACUUGUUUUUUCACUAAAAAGAAGCUCUUGCAAGUAAGAUUCUAAAACCUAGUUUUUUGAAUUGUAGUUGUGAGUCCUUAUCUUCUUCUACCUUAGCGCCCUUAUCUUGGUUGAAUUUAUGUAUCUCUCUUAUUAACUGUUUCUGUGUGUUAUUUUUGACUCCUAAAUUUUGGGUUUAAAACUUCAAAUGAGUAUGGAGACUGACAUGUUCAAAGAUUCUAUUUCAGUGUAGUAUUGGGAAACAAUUGAAAAGUGUAAUUUUCUUCAAAUUUGAAAGAGGACAACGAAUUGCUUUGAUUAGAAGAUUGAUUAGAAGAAUGAGGUACUUAUGGCAUUCUUAUAUUUCUUGCUUAAUAAAGGAUGGGAAACUGUAUUUAUUUCUAUUACUUUGAAAUGGCUAUAUUUGUCGUAGAUUAUCUAAUUUCCAUGUGAAUAUAUCAAGACUGUGUUUUGGAUCGAAGAAUGAGUUUGCAGAAAAGCUGCUGUAUGAAGUAAAUAAAUAUAAUGUGCCAAGUGUCUCUGAUCAUUUCAAGGUGCUUAAUAAGGUAAAUUAUGUGUGAAGAAUUAUAAUGGUUGCUUCACUUGUGCGCUUCAAGGUCCUCUUCCUGAAUGCUUCAAGAUUUUCUUCAUCAUUCUGGAUAUUCCUGGCAAUCUGCUUCCUUUAGGUGUCAGUGCUGACGGAUCAUGAUGGUUUUCGUGAUUUAAUUGAGAAUGAAAAGCUGAAGAGCAAUCUGGUUGGGAUCUCAAAGAUGCUGUCGAUGAUUUUGAUGUCUCCUUGGCACAUAAAAGAUUUCCUUCUAUUGUUUUUGGCUAUUCUCCUCCUGUAGAAUUAUAUG
rnacentral:misc_RNA from 1 species